rnacentral:rRNA from 1 species
GACGAACCGUGCGAACGUUGUUCGGAUUCACUGGGCUUAAAGGGCGCGUAGGCGGAUGGUCAAGUCGGGGGUGAAAUCUUUCAGCUUAACUGGAAAAGUGCCUUCGAUACUGAUCGUCUCGAGGGAGGUAGGGGCAUGUGGAACUUCCGGUGGAGCGGUGAAAUGCGUAGAUAUCGGAAGGAACGCCGGUGGCGAAAGCGACGUGCUGGACCUCUUCUGACGCUGAGGCGCGAAAGCUAGGGGGAGCAAACGGG